rnacentral:lncRNA from 1 species
AUGAAUUCGGAGAGUGGGGGGCAGAGGGUAGGAAUCACAGCACUCCCUCCACUGUUCGCCGCGGUUCCCAAGUCUUCCAUUAUUCUGCCUGAAAUCAUCUCGUUUACAGAAAAUAUUUGUUUGCACUAUUAGUUGGUACUGGAGUUAAUUACUCAAUGUGUUAACGUGAAGUAAUAUGUAUAAAAGUAGGAUCAGUGUUUAUUGUGUGGGUGAGCUGUUGAGCAGUGCUUGAAUAAACUGCAAUUAGGGUUAGAUAGAGAUUAAUUAACAUGUGAGUGGCAAGGUGUAAAAUAGUUUCCAACCCUCCACUUCAAUAUAAUCUGCGGGCGAGGGAAGAAGUUUGUGGAAGCUAAUUAAAUACUUUCAUAAAAGCCUGUGUAUUCACCCAACAUUUGGAAGGAGAGGCACAUUAGGGGCAACUUGUUUUUACCCAAAUGUUUGCUUUCUGUGGAGGUAGCACUCCUUUGUGAGGCGGGAGAGAGCGAUGGCUCCUGCAGCCACGCAAGCACUGGGGACGGCAAGGCAGGUUCACGGGAAGCCCUCAGAAGCCUUUCAGCCCGAUGCAGCUUUCGAACCAGCCCAUCUCUCAGCGGCUGCGGAGAUCGACAAUUAUUACCCAAUUUGGAAAACGGGUUGGGGUGCAGUGCUGGUGGCGGACAGGAUCCACAGGGAAGUCGGGCUCUGAGAGGCUGCGGUGUGGAUGAGUGUCGAGGUUGGGAAAAACACAAAACCCGGUUCCACGCGGUGCUUUAGUGGCUAAAAGUGAAAGAGCUGCCUUGGCAGAAUCAGCUCUAUGAAUCACUUCGGAAAAUUGGUUCGACUGAAUGGCCUUGGGAGGAAAACGUUUUAAUAGGAUCCAGGGGAGGCUCUGCCGCUUCAAUCUGCUCCUUAAACAGGUGGGGACUGGACCUCCUCAAUUACACCAACAGUAAGUACAGCCGGGCCGCCCCAGGCCCCAGGCCCCAGGCCCCAGGCCCCGCACACACGCACGCACGCACGCAGGCGCCUGGCCUCGACGCCGGCCGCGCUCGCUCCGCACUUGCCAUCUAUUAGGGCUUCGCGGUCCUCGGCCCUCGCAGGCUUCCCGGCUCGGGCGGGGACGCCUCGAGGUCGCGCUCGGGCGCGGGCCGUCCGACCCCGACGCCAGCCGAGGCGAGCUCGCCGCCUUGCAUAAAUUAGCAUCGGCGGCCGCGCCGCGCUCGCGCCCGCGCCCUAAUGAGGUAAUUAUCUGCGCGCGUUCGGGGCUGGCGCCGGGGUUUAUAGCGCGCGGCCCGGCGCGGACGGCGGAGGGCGCUUCGCGUCCCGGACG